AGAGGAGUUCACCAAAUCUAUAUAAACAUGUUUCUUUGGAAUAUAUUCUAUCAAUAAAAUGGAGACUUCAAGAAAUUCUUCUCUAACAAUGACAUUCUUUUUGGUAUUUUUAAUCUUUGCAUCAGAUAUGUAUAUGGAAUCACAGGCCAUGAGAGUGACUGAGGAAUUAGACUCAACCUGUAACACAGCUCAAGAUUGUAUUAGACAAAAAUAUCCUUGUCCACCCCCCCUUAUUGUCGUAUGUGUUGCCAACCAUUGUUCAUGUACACACCUUCAAUCAACAUUAACCAAUAAAAUUCCUAGUCCAACACCUUCAAUUAAAAAUUGAAUAAUGAAUUAGUUGAUGUAUUUGGAUGAGAAUAAUACAUAAAAUCUUAAUAAAAAAAUGUGUGAUUGCUUCA